UCGGGUUGUAAAGCACUUUUGUCCGGAAAGAAAACUUCUGCCCUAAUACGGCGGGAGGAUGACGGUACCGGAAGAAUAAGCACCGGCUAACUACGUGCCAGCAGCGCGGUAAUCGUAGGGUGCGAGCGUUAAUCGGAAUUACUGGGCGUAAAGCGUGCGCAGGCGGUUCGUUAAGACAGAUGUGAAAUCCCCGGGCUUAACCUGGGAACUGCAUUUGUGACUGGCGAGCUAGAGUAUGGCAGAGGGGGGUAGAAUUCCACGUGUAGCAGUGAAAUGCGUAGAGAUGUGGAGGAAUACCGAUGGCGAAGGCAGCCCCCUGGGCCAAUACUGACGCUCAUGCACGAAAGCGUGGGGAGCAAACAGGAUUAGAUACCCUGGUAGUCCACGCCCUAAACGAUGUCAACUAGUUGUUGGGGAUUCAUUUCCUUAGUAACGUAGCUAACGCGUGAAGUUGACCGCCUGGGGAGUACGGUCGCAAGAUUAAAACUCAAAGGAAUUGACGGGGACCCGCACAAGCGGUGGAUGAAGGGGGAUUAAUUCGAUGCAACGCGAAAAACCUUACCUACCCUUGACAUGGUCGGAACCCUGCUG
rnacentral:rRNA from 1 species